GCUUUGGGUUCUUGUAACAAACCCAGCUGGAUGCCAGUCUCAUCUGUUGCGUAUGUCCUAGUACAGUGUUUUUAAACAGGUAUUCCAUAGCAUCAGCAUGCCUGCUGCCUGCCUGUCUGUCUGUCUAUCAAUCUGUCUAAAGUUGAGUUAUUGACCCUUCCUACCUAUCCCAGACGGGAGAUUUAAGAUGCUAAAGAGGAAAGAACCACUUGAAAGCAGGAGUCUGAAGAUACAGAUUGUGUCUCCUUGAUAUAUUCUAGGACAUCUCCUU
rnacentral:lncRNA from 1 species